rnacentral:pre_miRNA from 1 species
CCAGGAAAAUGACCUAUGAAUUGACAGACUGCUUUCUAAAUUUGCCUGUCAUUUCCAUAGGCCAAUAUUCUGC